CAAGUCGAACGCGUCUCCGUUAAUGAUUUUAGGUGCUUGCACUUGAAAGAUUUAACAUUGAGACGAGUGGCGAACUGGUGAGUAACACGUGGGUAACCUGCCCUUGAAGUAGGGGAUAACACUCGGAAACAGGUGCUAAUACCGUAUAACAACCAAAACCACCUGGUUUUGGUUUAAAAGGCGGCUUCGGCUGUCACUUUAGGAUGGACCCGCGGCGCAUUAGCUUGUUGGUAAGGUAACGGCUUACCAAGGCGAUGAUACGUAGCCGACCUGAGAGGGUAAUCGGCCACAUUGGGACUGAGACACGGCCCAAACUCCUACGGGAGGCAGCAGUAGGGAAUCUUCCACAAUGGACGAAAGUCUGAUGGAGCAACGCCGCGUGAGUGAUGAAGGGUUUCGGCUCGUAAAACUCUGUUGUUGGAGAAGAACAGGUGUCAGAGUAACUGUUGACAUCUUGACGGUAUCCAACCAGAAAGCCACGGCUAACUACGUGCCAGCAGCCGCGGUAAUACGUAGGUGGCAAGCGUUGUCCGGAUUUAUUGGGCGUAAAGCGAGCGCAGGCGGUUUUUUAGGUCUGAUGUGAAAGCCUUCGGCUUAACCGGAGAAGUGCAUCGGAAACCGGGAGACUUGAGUGCAGAAGAGGACAGUGGAACUCCAUGUGUAGCAGUGAAAUGCGUAGAUAUAUGGAAGAACACCAGUGGCGAAGGCGGCUGUCUGGUCUGUAACUGACGCUGAGGCUCGAAAGCAUGGGUAGCGAACAGGAUUAGAUACCCUGGUAGUCCAUGCCGUAAACGAUGAGUGCUAAGUGUUGGAGGGUUUCCGCCCUUCAGUGCUGCAGCUAACGCAUUAAGCACUCCGCCU
rnacentral:rRNA from 1 species